UACGUAGGGGGCUAGCGUUAUCCGGAAUUACUGGGCGUAAAGGGUGCGUAGGUGGUUUCUUAAGUCAGAGGUGAAAGGCUACGGCUCAACCGUAGUAAGCCUUUGAAACUGAGAAACUUGAGUGCAGGAGAGGAGAGUAGAAUUCCUAGUGUAGCGGUGAAAUGCGUAGAUAUUAGGAGGAAUACCAGUUGCGAAGGCGGCUCUCUGGACUGUAACUGACACUGAGGCACGAAAGCGUGGGGAGCAAACAGGGA
rnacentral:rRNA from 1 species